UUGGAGGGCAAGUCUGGUGCCAGCAGCCGCGGUAAUUCCAGCUCCAAUAGCGUAUAUUAAAGUUGUUGCAGUUAAAAAGCUCGUAGUUGAAUUUCGGGGUUAGUAGGUUGGUCAUGCCUCUGGUAUGUACUGGUCUCACUGAUUCCUCCUUCCUUAUGAACCGUAAUGCCAUUAAUUUGGUGUUGCGGGGAAUUUGGACUGUUACUUUGAAAAAAUUAGAGUGUUUAAGGCAAGCUAACGCUUGAAUACAUUAGCAUGGAAUAAUGAAAUAGGACGUUCGAUCUUAUUUUGUUGGUUUCUAGGAUUGACGUAAUGAUUAAUAGGGAUAGUUGGGGGCAUUAGUAUUCAAUUGUCAGAGGUGAAAUUCUUGGAUUUAUUGAAGACUAACUACUGCGAAAGCAUUUGCCAAGGAUGUUUUCAUUAAUCAAGAACGAAAGUUAGGGGAUCGAAGACGAUCAGAUACCGUCGUAGUCUUAACCAUAAACUAUGCCGACUAGGGAUCGGAUGAUGUUAAUUUUUUAAAGACUCAUUCGGCGCCUUACGGGAAAC
rnacentral:rRNA from 1 species